rnacentral:sRNA from 1 species
AUCGUUUGGAUUGAAGAAAAGCUU